rnacentral:rRNA from 1 species
AGCAGCCGCGGUAAUUCCAGCUCCAAUAGCGUAUAUUAAAGUUGUUGCAGUUAAAAAGCUCGUAGUUGAAUUUCGGGGUUCUACCGUUGGUCGGGCUUUGUCUGUACUGGCGUGUAGAAUUUCUACCUUCUGGGGAACUAUCAUGUUAUUAAUUUAGCGUGGUAGGAAACCAGGACCUUUACCUUGAAAAAUUAGAGUGUUCAAAGCAGGCUUAUGUCUGAAUACAUUAGCAUGGAAUAAUAAAAUAGGACGGUGGUCCUGUUUUGUUGGUUUCUGAAUCACCGUAAUGAUUAAUAGGGAUAAUUGGGGACAUUAGUAUUCAAUUGUCAGAGGUGAAAUUCUUGGAUUUAUUGAAGACUAACUACUGCGAAAGCAUUUGCCAAGGAUGUUUUCAUUAAUCAAGAACGAAAGUUAGGGGAUCGAAGACGAUCAGAUACCGUCGUAGUCUUAACCAUAAACUAUGCCGACUAGGGAUCGGACGAUGUUAACUUUUCUUGACUCGUUCGGCGCCUUACGGGAA